rnacentral:lncRNA from 12 species
GCUUGAUUUAUAGUAGAUAAUUGGAUAUGUAACAAGGAUUAUAAUAAGGCGUCUAAAUAAGGCUGUAUAUGUGUGUGUGCGUGUGUGCGUGCGUGUGUGUAUGCAUAGUAUCAGCUAACCAGAUGGCUGUCUAACCUAAAGACAGCGUAGAUAUUAUUUGUAAGAUUUUUUUUUACUAUUAAUGGAUUAUGCACAGGAGGCUUGGUAAUUAUAAAAAAUAUUGAUGCAAGCAGGAAAUCUUGUCUUGGCACAGUCGUGGUAUGUAGUGCUCAGAGCAGGAGUAACAGGACACACACAUUUGUCUUCUGCUUGCUACUCAUACAACUGUCGUUCCCAACUGUCGCGGAUCCUUCUGGUUGCAGAAUUCCAGCGCUCACAUAGUAACAAGGGAGUCAAAACAGUCCCUCCCUCCUGAGCUCUAAUCGCACAACAGUUUCAUAAUCAUGUUCUCUCAGAAAGUUCCAUGGUCCACCCCUCUGGAACAAAAUAAAAUGAUUUCCAGAAAGAGGGCCUUUGUGGAACCAGCUCACUGCAGUCCAUUCUAGAGUAAAGAAUCUGUGAUUUUGUUGGUUCUACUUCAAAGACUGGUGAAUUUUCUAAUCAGUGAAGAAGACAUUCAGUUGACCCACUCUAGCGUUGGAAGAUCUGCCAUUUAAAGAAUGAAGUGGAAGUAUAUAAAACAUGUAUAGGCUAGCUCAAACUUUAUCCAUGUCCCCUACUCCACCUCAGCUGUACCAGAAGGCUUGUGGAUGAAUGAUAAAGAAUGAUUUGUUAUGGCAUGAAAAUCAUCAUUUCAAGAACUUCUUGGCAGGAGCUAAGUGACUCAGUCUGGACUGAAAAAGGAGAGGAGUUUGUUCUUAUUGUCAAGAUGGCAAUGGGAAAGAUAUGCUUACAGCAUCUGGGAAUUGAAACUUCUUUUGGAGCUUCUUUUUUGUUACGCCCACCCCACUGUCACCCAUGCAUAGAUGUCUGGAAAGGACUGAAGCCCUCCAUUCUGUUCCUGCCCUGAAAGUGGGGCCCAGAAUCAAGGAAAUGACUAUUUCAAGACAGAAGAGUGUAGAGGGUGGACCAAAGAGAGAGGAGAAAACAGGGAAUCCCAGGAGCUGAUGGUGAAUCAAAAUGACAAGGGAAGAUGAGGACAGAGUCAGGAUCCAGCUGGAGACUUCUUCAUGCUUGGAUAAAGAUUUUGGCAGUGGCAUAGCACAAUGUAUUUUUUUAUUUAACAAUUUGUAGUCAGUGUGGGUUAUUGAUCGUUACUUAGCUCAGUUCAGUUUUUUUGAGCACCCACUCUGUGUGCCACAUGGUGCAUCAGACGUGAGGGACAAAGGUGCAUCAGAUGUCACUCCUGCCCUCAUGUGUGCCACAUGGUGCAUCAGACGUGAGGGACAAAGGUGCAUCAGAUGUCACUCCUGCCCUCAGGGAAGGGAGGCCCAUCAGAAAGGACACGCUAUCCUAGUGUGAUGCAGCACACUUUCUCUUACUGCUAAACGCAACAUUCAUUUUCAUGUUCACGUGCUAUAUAGCACAUCCAUUUUGUGACCAGUUAUUGAAACCACAGAUCUUUGAGUGUGCAAAGAGUUCCUUUUCAGAGAGGCUUUCCCAUAUUUCCCAAAGAUGGGAAAAUGUAUUUUCUAAUCCCUGCCUUCAGCUAAAUAUACGUAUAAGCCUUUGUGUGAAGUACCAUUUACUGCAACUCAUUUAAGCUGGGAUAUAUCGUGCAAAGUCGGAGAACAAUAGGAUAUCCAGGAAUCUCUUCUAUAGCAAGUUGAAUAACUAUAAUUAAGGAGAAUUUUGAAAAUGCGGUGGCCUCAAAACACAAGUGGCUACCGAAUAGUAACCAAGCAAACUUGGGGUAGCUACAAUCAGAGAAAGAACGAACACAUUAGCAGCAUAGCAAGUAAGAGGAUAUGAUUCCUUAAAAGAAGAGGGGGCUAUUUUAGUGACUGGGCUGUAGAAAAUCAGGUCAGACAAGAAGGAAAAAGACCUUCUCUGAAGACGCUAUUUGUUGUCUACGUCCCUUACCUGAAUUUGUAUCCAUGGAUAACAUUUGAUUAGCAAUCACAUAUCCAAUUCCAAGGAGAAAAAAAAAAAAUCACAAGCAUUAAAUGUACCCACGUGGAAGAUACCCGCAUAAUUACUUGCACAAGAAAUUAUCUGCUUUAAAGCAAAAAUAAAAAUAAUAAUAUCCAUAGCUGCUGGCCA